AUUGAACGCUGGCGGCAGGCCUAACACAUGCAAGUCGAACGAGUGGCGGACGGGGGAGUAAUGUAUGGGAAACUGCCUGAUGGAGGGGGAUAACUACGGGAAACGGUAGCUAAUACAGCAUACCAUCAGAUGUGCCCGGAGGGGAUUCGCUUGUUGGUGGUGUAAGGGGUCACCAAGGCGACGAUCCCUAGCUGGUCUGAGAGGAUGACCAGCCAAACUGGAACUGAGACACGGGCCAGACUCCUACGGUAGGAAGCAGUGGGGAAUAGUGCACAAUGGGCGCAAGCCUGAUGCAGCCAUGCCGCGUGUAUGAAGAAGGCCUGCGGGUUGUAAAGUACUUUCAGCGGGGAGGCGGUACCCGCAGAAGAAGCACCGGCUAACUCCGUGCCAGCAGCCGCGGUAAUUC
rnacentral:rRNA from 1 species